GUGCUUGCUUCGGCAACACAUAUGCUAAAAUUGGAACGAUACAGAGAAGAUUAGCAUGGCCCCUGUGCAAGGAUGUCAUGCAAAUUUGUGAAGCGUUCCAUAUUGGG